rnacentral:rRNA from 1 species
UGAAGGUUCUAUGGAUCGUAAACCUCUUUUAUAAGGGAAUAAAGUGUGGGACGUGUCCUAUUUUGUAUGUACCUUAUGAAUAAGGAUCGGCUAACUCCGUGCCAGCAGCCGCGGUAAUACGGAGGAUCCGAGCGUUAUCCGGAUUUAUUGGGUUUAAAGGGUGCGUAGGCGGCCUUUUAAGUCAGCGGUGAAAGUCUGUGGCUCAACCAUAGAAUUGCCGUUGAAACUGGGGGGCUUGAGUAUGUUUGAGGCAGGCGGAAUGCGUGGUGUAGCGGUGAAAUGCUUAGAUAUCACGCAGAACCCCGAUUGCGAAGGCAGCCUGCCAAGCCAUGACUGACGCUGAUGCACGAAAGCGUGGGGAUCAAACAGGAUUAGAUACCCUGGUAGUCCACGCAGUAAACGAUGAUCACUAGCUGUUUGCGAUACAGUGUAAGCGGCACA